rnacentral:rRNA from 1 species
CGCGAUUACUAGCGAUUCCAACUUCAUGGAGUCGAGUUGCAGACUCCAAUCCGGACUACGAUACACUUUCUGGGAUUAGCUCCCCCUCGCGGGUUGGCGGCCCUCUGUAUGUACCAUUGUAUGACGUGUGAAGCCCUACCCAUAAGGGCCAUGAGGACUUGACGUCAUCCCCACCUUCCUCCGGUUUGUCACCGGCAGUCUCAUUAGAGUGCCCUUUCGUAGCAACUAAUGACAAGGGUUGCGCUCGUUGCGGGACUUAACCCAACAUCUCACGACACGAGCUGACGACAGCCAUGCAGCACCUGUGUCCACUUUCUCUUUCGAGCACCUAAUGCAUCUCUGCUUCGUUAGUGGCAUGUCAAGGGUAGGUAAGGUUUUUCG